UGGGGAAUAUUGGACAAUGGGGGCAACCCUGAUCCAGCAAUGCCGCGUGUGUGAAGAAGGUCUUCGGAUUGUAAAGCACUUUCGACGGGGACGAUGAUGACGGUACCCGUAGAAGAAGCCCCGGCUAACUUCGUGCCAGCAGCCGCGGUAAUACGAAGGGGGCUAGCGUUGCUCGGAAUGACUGGGCGUAAAGGGCGUGUAGGCGGUUUACACAGUCAGAUGUGAAAUCCCCGGGCUUAACCUGGGAGCUGCAUUUGAUACGUGUAGACUAGAGUGUGAGAGAGGGUUGUGGAAUUCCCAGUGUAGAGGUGAAAUUCGUAGAUAUUGGGAAGAACACCGGUGGCGAAGGCGGCAACCUGGCUCAUGACUGACGCUGAGGCGCGAAAAGCGUGGGGAGCAAACAGGAUUAGGA
rnacentral:rRNA from 1 species